rnacentral:lncRNA from 10 species
AAACCAAACUUGUUAGGUCCCUGUAUAUCCUGAAUUCAAAGAGGUCCACUUUGUCUGGUGCAACUUACAAAUUUAGAUGCUAUGCUACAGUGGGGACCAUUCACAUCUCAGCAAGAACCCCUCAACUAUUCACCAGCAGGAAAUAGAGCAAGGAAACCAAAGCAAAAAUAGACAUCACUGAAAGGCUUCUGCACAGCAAUGAGCACAAUCAACAGAAUGAAAAGACACCUACAUAUUUGGAUAAGAUACUCGAAAACCAUACAUCUCAUAAUAUCAGCUAUUUUAAUGUCCAAAAUAUAUAAGAAACUUCUACAACUCAAUAACAAAAAUAACAACCUGAUUAAAAAUGGGCAAAGGACUUGAAUAGAUAUUUCUCCAAAGAAGGCAUACAAAUGGGCAACAAAUAUAUUAAAAGGUGCUCAACAUCACUAAUCAUCAGGGAAAUACAAAUCAAAACGACAAUGAGAUAUCACCUCGCACCUGUUACAAUUGCUAUUACUUUAAAAACAAAACAAAACAAAACAAAACAUAAUGAGUGUUGAAGAGGACAUGG